GAUGAAGAACGCAGCGAAAUGCGAUACGUAAUGUGAAUUGCAGAAUUCAGUGAAUCAUCGAGUCUUUGAACGCACAUUGCGCCCUCUGGUAUUCCGGAGGGCAUGCCUGUCCGAGCGUCAUUGCUGCCCUCAAGCACGGCUUGUGUGUUGGGCCCCGCCCCCCGAUCCCGGGGGGCGGGCCCGAAAGGCAGCGGCGGCACCGCGUCCGGUCCUCGAGCGUAUGGGGCUUUGUCACCCGCUCUUGUAGGCCCGGCCGGCGCUUGCCGACACAUCAAUCUUUUUUCCAGGUUGACCUCGGAUCAGGUAGGGAUACCCGCUGAACUUAAGCAUAUCAAUAAGCGGAGGA
rnacentral:misc_RNA from 1 species